rnacentral:rRNA from 1 species
GACGAACGCUGGCGGCGUGCUUAACACAUGCAAGUCGAACGGAAAGGCCCUGCUUUUGUGGGGUGCUCGAGUGGCGAACGGGUGAGUAACACGUGAGUAACCUGCCCUUGACUUUGGGAUAACUUCAGGAAACUGGGGCUAAUACCGGAUAGGAGCUCCUGCUGCAUGGUGGGGGUUGGAAAGUUUCGGCGGUUGAGGAUGGACUCGCGGCUUAUCAGCUUGUUGGUGGGGUAGUGGCUUACCAAGGCUUUGACGGGUAGCCGGCCUGAGAGGGUGACCGGCCACAUUGGGACUGAGAUACGGCCCAGACUCCUACGGGAGGCAGCAGUGGGGAAUAUUGCACAAUGGGCGGAAGCCUGAUGCAGCAACGCCGCGUGCGGGAUGACGGCCUUCGGGUUGUAAACCGCUUUCGCCUGCGACGAAGCGUGAGUGACGGUAAUGGGUAAAGAAGCACCGGCUAACUACGUG